rnacentral:rRNA from 1 species
ACUCCUACGGGAGGCAGCAGUAAGGAAUAUUGGGCAAUGGAGGCAACUCUGACCCAGCCAUCCCGCGUGAAGGAUUAAGGCCCUAUGGGUUGUAAACUUCUUUUGUUUGGGAAGAAAUCUGGACAUUUAUGUGCAGUUGACGGUACCUUACGAAUAAGCACCGGCUAACUCCGUGCCAGCAGCCGCGGUAAUACGGAGGGUGCAAGCGUUAUCCGGAAUCACUGGGUUUAAAGGGUGCGUAGGCGGUUUGAUAAGUCAGAGGUGAAAGCUAGCAGCUUAACUGUUAAAUUGCCUUUGAUACUGUCAGACUUGAAUCAAGUUGAGGUAGGCGGAAUGUGACAUGUAGCGGUGAAAUGCAUAGAUAUGUCAUAGAACACCAAUUGCGUAGGCAGCUUGCUGGGCUUGAAUUGACGCUGAGGCACGAAAGCGUGGGGAUCAAACAGGAUUAGAUACCCUGGUAGUC